CAGUGGUGAACAUGCUGAUCCAGAUCUAUAAGUUUGUGGUACUGGUCAGAUGCCUAGUCCUAUGCUAUGGGAAUAGUGGCCGAAGACAUAAUGAAAGACCUGCAGGAUUGGCUAGCAAUCCUGAAUAUACCAUGGCAGAUGGCUGGUUGUCUGACCAGGACUCCUUAAAUGGGGUAUGAGCAAGGUCUUGCUCAAAGAGGGG